AUUGAACGCUGGCGGCAGGCCUAACACAUGCAAGUCGAACGAGUGGCGGACGGGUGAGCAAUGUCUGGGCAACUGCCUGAUGGAGGGGGAUAACUACUGGAAACGGUAGCAAAUACCGCAUACCAUCAGAUGUGCCCAGGUGGGAUGAGCUUGUUGGUGGGGUAACGGCGCACCAUGGCGACGAUCCCUAGCUGGUCUGAGAGGAUGACCAGCCACACGGGAACUGAGACACGGUCCAGACUCCUACGGGAGGCAGCAGUGGGGAAGAUUCGACAAUGGGCGAAAGCCUGAUGGAGCGACGCCGCGUGUAUGAAGAAGGUCUUCGGGUUGUAAAGUACUGUCAGCGGGGAGGCGUUACCCACAGAGGAAGCACCGGCUAACUACGUGCCAGCAGGCGCGGUAAUUC
rnacentral:rRNA from 1 species